rnacentral:misc_RNA from 1 species
CCGGGUAUCCGUGGGCCUUGUGCCCACGAACCUUCCACCCUUCGCAGACCCGUCCAACGAACCCCGCGCUGUCGGCGCAGGGCGUGAGCAAGUACGCAUCCGCCCGCCGAGCAACAGCCCGUCCAAAACCCUUGUUCUUUGAACCGUGACGUCUGAGCGUUUUUAUAAGAAUAACAA